UGCCCUAGUAACGGCGAGUGAAGCGGCAACAGCUCAAAUUUGAAAUCUGGCUCUUUUAGAGUCCGAGUUGUAAUUUGCAGAGGGCGCUUUGGCUUUGGCAGCGGUCCAAGUUCCUUGGAACAGGACGUCACAGAGGGUGAGAAUCCCGUACGUGGUCGCUGGCUAUUGCCGUGUAAAGCCCCUUCGACGAGUCGAGUUGUUUGGGAAUGCAGCUCUAAAUGGGAGGUACAUUUCUUCUAAAGCUAAAUAUUGGCCAGAGACCGAUAGCGCACAAGUAGAGUGAUCGAAAGAUGAAAAGCACUUUGGAAAGAGAGUCAAACAGCACGUGAAAUUGUUGAAAGGGAAGCGCUUGCAGCCAGACUUGCUUACAGUUGCUCAUCCGGGCUUUUGCCCGGUGCACUCUUCUGUAGGCAGGCCAGCAUCAGUUUGGGCGGUAGGAUAAAGGUCUCUGUCACGUACCUCUCUUCGGGGAGGCCUUAUAGGGGAGACGACAUACUACCAGCCUGGACUGAGGUCCGCGCAUCUGCUAGGAUGCUGGCGUAAUG
rnacentral:rRNA from 1 species